rnacentral:rRNA from 1 species
CACCAGACUCCUACGGGAGGCAGCAGUGGGGGAUAUUGCACAAUGGGGGGAACCCUGAUGCAGCGACGCCGCGUGGGUGAAGGAGCGUUUCGGCGCGUAAAGCCCUAUCGGCAGGGAAGAAGGAGGACGGUACCUGACUAAGAAGCCCCGGCUAACUACGUGCCAGCAGCCGCGGGAAUACGUAGGGGGCAAGCGUUAUCCGGAUUUACUGGGUGUAAAGGGGGCGCAGACGGCAGCGCAAGCCAGGAGUGAAAGCCCGGGGCCCAACCCCGGGACUGCUCUUGGAACUGCGCGGCUGGAGUGCAGGAGGGGCAGGCGGAAUUCCUGGUGUAGCGGUGAAAUGCGUAGAUAUCAGGAGGAACACCAGUGGCGAAGGCGGCUUACUGGACGGCAACUGACGCUGAGGCUCGAAAGCGUGGGGAGCAAACAGGAUUAGAUACCCCCGUACC